rnacentral:tRNA from 1 species
AAAAAUUUAGUUAAUAAAUAACGUUAGCUUGUCAAGCUAAAAUUACUGUAAAGUAAUUUUUA